AUUUCCUAAGGAAAAUGGGCACACCAGAAUCCUGGAGAAUCUGCUCCAAGAACUGAUACCAAGAAUUGGAUCUGAGAGGUAGAAGGAAUGAAUCGUAGUGGAUGCUGCAUUGUCUACAUCUCCUUAGGACUCAAAGACUUAGUCUUCCAGGUGCCAGCUGAUUACCUCCAGCUGUCAGGCCUCCUGGAAACUGGGCUCAGCUAGAGAGAACUGGCUUAUCCAAGAUCACACUCCCUUCCUGGGGAAGUCUACAUUCAAUGGACAGAGGCCAACAAUCAAAGAAAUGAGACUUACCAGAUCACCACAUCUGGACAAUGAGACACCAGACACCUUACCUGUCAUGAUUGCCUAACCGACCACUUGUUUCCUGUUGACCAAGUCCUCUUCCUUACCCCUCUCUAAUCUGUGUUUUCCCACACAUAGUUACAUUUCUUCCCUGCUAUAUAAACUCCUAAUUUUAAUUGGUUGAGGAGAUGGAUUUGAAACUGAUUUCCCAUCUCCUCACUGAAGCACCUGAAUAAAGCCUGCUUUCCUGGAAA